rnacentral:rRNA from 1 species
UACGUAGGGAGCGAGCGUUGUCCGAAGUUACUGGGCGUAAAGCGCGCGUAGGCGGGUUAUUAAGUGAGAGGUGAAAUUCCAGGGCUCAACCCCGGAACUGCCUCUCAUACUGAUAGUCUUGAGUGAGGUAGAGAGAAGUGGAAUGGCUGGUGUAGCGGUGAAAUGCGUAGAUAUCAGUCGGAACACCGGUGGCGAAGGCGGCUUCUUGGGCCUUUACUGACGCUGAGGAGCGAAAGCGUGGGGAGCAAACAGG